rnacentral:piRNA from 1 species
UACUCUGGAAACAAAAGGUGUUAGUUUGC